UUCACUGAAUUUAAGCGUAUUAGUCAGUAGAGAAAAAGAAAAUUACUAAGAAUUCCCUCAGUAACAGAAAGUAAACAUGGAAUAGACUAGUACUGAAUCUUUGCCCCAUGGUGGGACACAGGAAAUGUGGCACAUGGAAGAUUCACUUCCCUGUGCCACUUGUAGAGGACGCAAGUCCUUCUGAUUGAGACCUAGCCUGUGAAGCCAGUAGCAGCCCCUGGAGCACUGAGCCUGGGUCUCCCCAGAGUUGUGUUGCUUAAGAAUGCAGACCAAAGUGAGUGGGAAACUCCGUCUAAGGCUAAAUACCUAAACAAAAUCAACAGUCAACAAGUACCAUAAGG
rnacentral:ncRNA from 1 species